AGCGAACGCUGGCGGCAGGCCUAACACAUGCAAGUCGAACGAAGCCUUCGGGCUUAGUGGCGGACGGGUGAGUAACACGUGGGAACGUACCUUUUGGUUCGGAAUAACGCAGAGAAAUUUGCGCUAAUACCGAAUGAGCCCUUCGGGGGAAAGAUUUAUCGCCGAAAGAUCGGCCCGCGUUGGAUUAGGUAGUUGGUGUGGUAAAGGCGCACCAAGCCUACGAUCCAUAGCUGGUCGGAGAGGAUGAUCAGCCACACUGGGACUGAGACACGGCACAGACUCCUACGGGAGGCAGCAGUGGGGAAUCUUGCGCAAUGGGCGAAAGCCUGACGCAGCCAUGCCGCGUGAAUGAUGAAGGUCUUAGGAUUGUAAAAUUCUUUUACCAGGGACGAUAAUGACGGUACCUGGAGAAAAAGCCCCGGCUAACUUCGUGCCAGCCGCCGCAGUAAAAC
rnacentral:rRNA from 1 species